UACGGGGGGGGGCAAGCGUUGUUCGGAAUUACUGGGCGUAAAGGGCUCGUAGGCGGCCAACUAAGUCGGACGUGAAAUCCCUCGGCUCAACCUGGGAACUGCAUUGGAAACUAACGGGCUCGAGUGUGGCAGAGGGGGGUGGAAUUCCACGUGUAGCAGUGAAAUGCGUAGAGAUGUGGAGGAACACCGAUGGCGAAGGCAGCCCCCUGGGCUAACACUGACGCUCAGGCACGAAAGCGUGGGGAGCAAACAGG
rnacentral:rRNA from 1 species